GUCUACGGCCAUACUACCCUGAACGUGCCUGAUCUUGUCUGAUCUCUGAAGCUAAGCAGGGUCAGGCCUGGUUAGUACUUGGAUGGGAAAGAACUAUUAACUUGCCAAUACU
rfam:Heterocephalus glaber contig78420, whole genome shotgun sequence.